AAACUAACGAUAUUUUUUUAGAAAAACAUAAAAUAAGAAAAUUAGUUGCCAAUGCCUCUCCUCUCCUGCACGCAGUGUUUUCCUUCAACAUAAUUAUGCUUUAAUUAUGUAGACUUUAUGAUAUCUAGUAUUUCAGAUUUCAUUGGUUCUCUAAGGCAAAAAUGCUUUUUCAAAAGUUGAGUUCUAAAGCUCGAAAAAUGCCGACAUUAAAAAGAUAAAUGGGAGGAUAAACCUCAGUGUUUUUCCCAGCAUUUUUCCUUAUAUCGUAUGCUUAUGUUGUAUUGAAUUACCCUAGACUAGCUUCAAACGCGGAAAAUUUAUUCGGAAGAUAAUCCCUGAGACUUAACAGGGAUUUGUUUCUUAAAAGUGGAACAUGUAGGAAAACCCUUUCUUUUUUUUGGAAAUUUGGUGACUAAUUUUAUCAAUAACAUGUUAUCAAAUCGCCCCUCCUCAUAUCUAACUGCUAUAUAAACUGAAGUAAGCACUUCACAUCAAACAUUUACAAAAAUGGCCCAGUGUCAUCCACAUCACCACCACCACCACCACGACAAAUACGCAGUUAUCAGAAAUCAAAGAUCUGGUCUUGUAUUAGACGCUAGUGACUGUGUGGUCAAAAUUCAACAUUUUACGGGAUUUCCAGCGCAGUUAUGGAAGUUAGAAGAUGCAUGUCCUGGCAAAUUUUUCAUUGUUAACAAAGGCAACGGGAAAGUUUUGGAUAUUGAUGGAGGUCUGAAAAACGGCUCAAAUUUACUUACAUAUCAGAAACACGGUGGCUCAAAUCAGCAAUGGCAUGUUAAUUCCGAUGGUACCAUUGUGAGUGCCGAUGGAAAUUUGGCUGUGGACAUAUGCCGCGAAAACUACACGCCUGGAAAUAAUUUAAUUGCAUAUCGCAAGCAUGGGGGAGCCAAUCAGCAAUUCACCUUCCAAUAUCAAUAGUUAACUUGUAGUUUUGCUUCCGAAUAAAGUCAUUUUAUAACUUU